rnacentral:rRNA from 1 species
UACGAAGGGGGCUAGCGUUGUUCGGAAUUACUGGGCGUAAAGGGCGUGUAGGCGGCCCGUUAAGACAGGUGUGAAAUUCCUGGGCUCAACCCAGGACGUGCGCCUGUGACUGGCGGGCUUGAGUCCGGGAGAGGAUGGUGGAACUCCCAGUGUAGAGGUGAAAUGCGCAGAUAUCAGGAAGAACACCCGUGGCGAAGGCGGCUCUCUGGGACGGUACUGACGCUGAGACGCGAAAGCGUGGGGAGCGAACAGG